rnacentral:rRNA from 1 species
UACGAAGGGGGCUAGCGUUGCUCGGAAUCACUGGGCGUAAAGCGCACGUAGGCGGAUUGCUAAGUCAGGGGUGAAAUCCUGGAGCUCAACUCCAGAACUGCCUUUGAUACUGGCGACCUUGAGUCCGGGAGAGGUGAGUGGAACUGCGAGUGUAGAGGUGAAAUUCGUAGAUAUUCGCAAGAACACCAGUGGCGAAGGCGGCUCACUGGCCCGGUACGUGUGACGCUGAGGUGCGAAAGCGUGGGAGCAAACAGG